rnacentral:lncRNA from 1 species
UUGAAGAAUCUGCGAUCCCACUCUGAAGGGAAAGAGGUGACUGAUGCUGACAUCUUGGAUUGGGCAAAUGACAGGGUGAGAAGAACAGGAAGAACCUCUAGAAUGGAAAGUUUCAAGGUAAAGCUCAUCUCCGCCUCAACCAGAUUAUCUGGAAAAAUAUCCAUUUACAGACCACAUUUUUAUUUCAUAUUAUGCUGUUAAAUUUUCACUCUUCAGGAUAAGUCCCUGUCAAAUGGAUUGUUCUUCCUUGAGCUCCUGAGUUCUGUGGAACCGAGGGUUGUCAACUGGAACAUUGUGACAAAGGGCGUCAGUGGUACGAGUGUUUGGAAGUUAUUAAAUUUUCCUCUUAUUCGAUCUUGAUAGUUUCUUGCAGAUUUUUUGAAGUAUUAUAGUAACAUAUGAGACAAUUAAUCUCUCGUUCCAUCUCUUGCUUAUUUUUUUUACAAAAAGAAAUCGGUAAAUGUUCCUUCUGUUUGAUAUUUUAAAUUUUUAUUUGCAGCUUUUAAAAAAAAUUUAUAAGAUUGUGUGACACAAUGAGUCUUCUGCUCCACCUCUUGCUCACAUUUUUUAAAAUUAAAUUGGUAUAUUUUCCUGUUUUUUAACCUCUUAAUUUUUUUUGCAGUUUUAAAGAAGAUAUUUCAGUAUUGCACAAGAAAAUUAAUCUCGCUCCUGUUCCUCCUCUAGCAUAUGAAUUUAUAAGUUAUCCUGUUGUUGGAUAUUUAAACAAUUUAUUUGCAGUUAUCUUUUUAAAAAAUUACGUCAGAUGUGGAACAGGAGAUUGGCUGAUAAAAUAUCGCAAUAUACACUUUUUUUAUUAAUUUAUUUAGCCUGUGUCCACAUUUCUCCUUCAAUAUUAUCCAUCUUGAGUUAUGAAAAUUAUGCUUCAGAGGAUGAGAAGAGGUUGAAUGCGACAUAUAUAAUCAGCGUGGCCAGAAAGCUCGGGUGCUCCAUUUUCUUGCUCCCUGAGGAUAUCAUGGAGGUAAUAAAAGCAUCGGUUUCUUCUCUUCUUUCCAACCCACGCAUCCAAAAUUUCUUGUUUUUCUUGUUUAUUUUUUAUUUUCAGGUGUAUUCUCCUGAAAAAAAAUCCUCAGGCUUACUUUAAAACCCUGAAUCAGCAUAUAAAUAGCAUGAACAAAAAUCGUACCUCCAUGCUUCCUAUUAAUGGCCGUCCCUUCUUCCCAAAAAUGUGCGAUUUUCUUGAUUAUUUGCUAUGAAUUAUUAAUAUAGAAGAUCUUUGGGCUUAGUUUGUGACCCCAAAUCAAAAUAUUAUUAUCACAGAGAGAAACGAACCUUCAUGACUUCUAUUUAUGGAUGCCUCUUCUUUCCAACCCCGGGCAUCCAGAAUUUGCGUUUAUUGUGAAUUAUUUGGAAGAAUUAAGUAUUCAGGCUUAUCCUAUCACCCGCAUUAAUUUCAGAAAAAAAAAACCUUCAUCCAAUAUUUGUGGUAUUUUUAUUGAUUAUUUAGACGUAAAAAAAAUAAAAAUCCAGGCGUAGCUUCCUGCCAUCAGUACAUCAACAGCAGAGAAAAUAAAAAAUCUAACCUUCACGGUUCCUAUUUUUGGGCUGUUCUUAUUGCAGUCUGCGAAUCUCAUGGAAUCUCUAGUUUUAUUCAUUUAUUUACUUAUUUAUUUCCUCAAUGUGGGCAGGUGAACCAGAAAAUGAUACUCACCCUUACAGCCAGCAUCAUGUACUGGAGCCUUCAGCAGCCAUCAGAGGAACCAGAACCGCCUGCUCCUCAGAAGGCCAACCCUCAGAGAGUCGCCUCAGAUGGAGGGGAAGACGAAGGCUCUCUCACAGAUGGCGCCUCAAACCCUAAUGUAGACGAUGACAUCAGUUUAGAAAAUGGGAAUCCACCAGAGGAAGAGCCAUGAGGACCCACCCUUGAGAUAUUUUUUUCUCAUAAAAAAAUAAUAAAAAAUAUAGGUCAUCUGGUUGUGAUUCUUAUAAAAAGCUGUAUCUUGGGUCAAUGGGUAGGAAAAUAUUUCCUUUUUAAUUUUUUCCUCUGGGCUGGCUUAUUGGGUUCAGGUUAUUUUUUUCUAUUGGUUGUAUCUGAUGGUCUAUUCUUUUGGCCUAUCUGUUCAAAGGGGAGAGAUGGAGGAGACGAUUACAGGGUUCAUGUGUAGGGUUUUGAUCAUAGCGGGUUCCUUAGGGGCCCAUGUCUCCAAGUCCAAAUAAUGAUGCAAAUGUUCAGGUUGUCAAUAAAUAAAUAAAGUAUAUGAUUUUGUGGGUAUUUCUGUUCUGGUUUUCUUGUUUACCUGUCUUUUAAAUUUUUUAUAAUUCCGUUUGAUUUUUGAGCCUUAUUUGAUCUUAAAGUAG